rnacentral:lncRNA from 1 species
GCGUGAUCUCCUCGCCCUGGCAGAGCCGGGGUGCCGGGUGGGGGCAGGCUCGGGGGCCUGCCUGCGGUGAAUCAGGCUUGUGACCUCAGGCCGUCCAGCCGGUGAGCAGAAGGAAGGAAGCAAAGAAGGAAGGGAGGAAGGGAAGAAGGGAGAGUUCAGUUCCCUUUCGUCGUUCACACAGUGGUCCUCCACACCAGGAAACCUAAGGGCUCUGUGGAGGGCCAGGUGCCGUGGCAGCAACACUCCUCAGGGCCUGUUUCAGCACCCCAUUUACGUGGCACAUGAAAAAUUCAGGAUGAACGCCCUGGCUGAAAGCUCUUCCUGGGUUUGGGACAUCAGAAGACCUUCCCGGGAUGGGCUCUUGUCUCUGCAGUAGCUAUGACCUGCACAUAAACCUGUUUCCUACACUGUAAAAUUGGCGUAACCACCAUUCCCUCCCAGUCUUUCUCUGGAGUCCUAAUGGGAACAGUGACGGAAUGAAAGUGACCACGCUGGAACCCGAAGCGCUGUUCCCCUCCGUGGCUUCACACUGAUCUCCACACUAGAAUUCCGUGUCUGCAGUUCAAGUUCAAACUACUGUGGUCGGGGAAGGGCUACAGAGAUCUCGCUUGGCCGUGGAGUCACCGGCCCCGUCCAGUCUUGCUUGGGACACAUACUGGUUUACACUCUCUCGGGUUCAGUUUCCUCAUCUGUAAAUGGGGCUCGUAUCCCCCUCAUAAAGUGGUUUGGGGGAUAAUAAAGCUUGUAAAAGCGCUUUGCCCCAGUGCUUGGCACAUAAUACGCGCUACGUUAACAAUGUCGCGUACACGCCCGAACCGGAGGAACCCCAUUCCACGCUCCUUCUGGAACCGAAUUCACCUCUGAGGCUUUGGGGCUUCAGAGCCGGAGCCGCUUGGGCAAAACCAGCAGAACAGCGAGAGGGAACGGGCUGGUCUAGCCCUGCCCUGAGCAUUUCUACUGAGACCCCCGGUCCUGCUUCUUCCAGCCUCUGCUGGAUUUCUCUCCGACCCCUCUGGAGCGAAGCCCUUUGGCCCUGCGUUGCAUGCGGCACGGUGCGGGUUCGGGCUCUGCGCUGGAGCCGGGAUGCCCUCCGGCGGAGGGUGCGCGUAGGCGGCGCCUGGGCGUGAGCCCCGCCUGCAAGGCUCAGCGUCGGGGAAGCACUUUUCUCGUCGACCCGGGGUCUUUUUCCGCCAAGGAGCUCGGGGCUCAAGAACUCGGGACUGGGCUGUGGGCGGGGCAUGGUUUUCCUCUCUGGGCGUCCUAAUCUCCAAUUUCAGGCAAAUUCGCUAGGAAGAACCUUCCCGAGCGCGCCUUCUCCAACAGGACCUCCAAGCCAGCCUCACGCACGCAGGCCUGGCUCUCUCCUGCAGAAUCCCCACCUGCCCUAUAACUACCCACUUCAGAUAUGGGGGAAUGGAGGAGAUAUUCCAAUCACGCCAUCUACCUACAGUUUCCACGGCCCCUUCUGUUGAAUGGUAUUUUCCUUUAGGGUCCCUAGAAGCAGAGCAAAUGAAAAGGCCAGGGGGAAAAAAAAAAAAAAAAGAAAGAACCGGUGAAUUGGCUCUGAGCCCAAUAAACGGUUCCUCUUUCCUUCUCCGGUCCUUUCCCUUCCAACAGAGCGAUUGAGAAAUCAUUUCAAUAAUCAGCAAAUCGGCUGGGAAAUGGAGAACCAGAAGGGAAUGUCCUAUCCAACAGCGCUUUUUCUUCUCUCAAUAGAAGCCCAGUCUUUCAUUUAGAUAUGAAUAUAGCUACUGUGCAUUUCUCCAUUAAUAAAUAUAAAUUUCCAAACUAGGUGGUGAGGGAUAUGAAUUUCCAUGGUACAUUGGGCCCUAGAGACACCAAGAAGCUUCAGGUCAUAAGGGGGUCUAUUCAGGCUAUGUCCAAGCACAACCAAAUUAUGGCAUUAAAAACAAGAGGUCUUGAUUCAGAUCUUUCACGUUUUAAUAACAGAGGGGGAUGCUGCUGAUAUAGAAAAGUGAUUGAAAAUAUUUGUAAACAUAUACUUCUCACUGGACCUCCAGUCAUGUUGGUGGGUGUGGUAGACAGAAUCAAGUACGUCAACUAGCUGUUUUCUGGUUUAGAAACAAAAAAUACCCCCAGCCCCACCCCCACUCUGGAGUCUUUGCUUCUCAACUACGAAAUGGAAAAAAAAGAACUCAAGUCCCAUUUAGACUGUGGGAGCUCAGCCCAUGAAGGGACUGUGGGAAUUGACAUGGAGAGUUUGGGGUGGAGAGGUGGAAGGGUGGAGGAAAUGAGAUCGGCAGCAGACACUGAGUCAGAGGCCUGAGACUAAGGCCUGGCUCUGUGUCCUUGAUAUCCCCAAGCCUCAGUGUUCACAUCUAUAAGAUGAGGAUAAUAUUGAUCUCACAGAACUGCUGUGAAGAAUCAACCACAUAAUAUAUGUGACGAUGGUUUUUCAUUAUCAGCCUUUCCUUGGCCUGGACCAAAUUGAAAGGAGACUGUGGGGCCAGGCAAGGUGGCUUGGAUCAUGCCUGUAAUACUAGCGCUUUAGGAGGCUGAGGCAGGAAGAUCCCUUGAGACCAGGAGUUUGAGACCAGCCUCAGCAACAUAGUGAG